GAUGAACGCUAGCUACAGGCUUAACACAUGCAAGUCGAGGGACCGGCGCACGGGUGAGUAACACGUAUCCAACCUUCCCUUUACUCGGGGAUAGCCUUGCGAAAGAAAGAUUAAUACCCGAUAUAAAGGAUGGGGAUGCGUUCCAUUAGGUUGUUGGUGAGGUAACGGCACACCACGUCUUCGAUGGAUAGGGGUCCUGAGAGGAAGGUCCCCCACAUUGGAACUGAGACAAUGUCCAAACUCGUACGGGAGGCAGCAGUGAGGAAUAUUGGUCAAUGGGCGUUAGCCUGAACCAGCCAAGUAGCGUGAAGGAUGAAGGCUUAUGGGUCGUAAACUUCUUUUAUAUAAGAAUAUGUAUUAUAUGAAUAAGGAUCGGCUAACUCCGUGCCAGCAGCCGCGGUAAUUC
rnacentral:rRNA from 1 species